ACCACCAGGUCGCCGAGUCCUGCCAGCCGGGUGGUCCCUGAACACCACGGCAGGAGCGGGGGACCCAUUUUUUCGGCCCCAGUGCCUCGGGGUGAAGUCCACGCGGUCGCAUGACCGCUGGGCGGGAUGCUCAUCUCCAUCCCAACCCGACAGCUAACUCCGCAGGCGGAGGAGAUCCCAUGU
rnacentral:sRNA from 2 species